rnacentral:piRNA from 1 species
AGGCAGCAAUUAGCGCAUGG